rnacentral:misc_RNA from 1 species
GUUGAGCGGGCGAGCCUGCCAGCUCG